AUGUCUCCGAUUAUUUUUGAUGUCGUCCUCACCAUCCUUCUUCUUAGACUCAUCACCGCUAUAUACUGCCAACCAUCACCUUCAUCGCGAUUUCCAAUUGAUCACGAACCUCCACCUCCGAUCUCCCGUUCCCGAUUCACUCCAUUCCUCAAUCACACUCAUCUUCUCGAACUCGAAAUGAACUAUAAAGCACCACACGUCUACGGAAAGGGAGAUUGA